ACAAGGUAGUCCUCAUGAUCAUACUGGAUAUCUCAAAUGAAAGCAGCAAAAUGCAUACUGCAUCCUGAUACGGAGUUUUGUUUCAGAUCUACAGCCCUGCACCAGGAAAAUAAUAUUCUUUUACUGCCCCUAAAUAAAUUUUUACAAAGAGACAUCUUUGGAAUCUUCAGCUCCUCUGACCUGAAUAGGUAUUUGGAAUUAAUUCUCAGGCUCUGGUCUCUAAUACAGAAGCACUGUCUAGCCAUAUUGCCAGUUGCUACACAUCCUUACUUUUUCCAUAAUGAAAGAAAUGCCAGCUCCCCAGCACUUUGCUUUGACCUACUACGUGUGUACACAGGAGGGCAUGAGAGGAGCACAGAACUGGAGACAGCCCUGUUGAGCCACUGUUCCGAUAACCAGGGUCCUAUUGCCUACCUCACUGGGGGCCCAGUGCAGAAUGGAGAGGACAACUACUUCUUCUCCAAAGAGGAAAACUGGAUGUUGCAUUUCAUUCCUGAGAGGCUCCACUACCAAAUGCCAAAGCCAUGGCCCUAA
rnacentral:lncRNA from 1 species